rnacentral:rRNA from 1 species
UACGCCUAGGGAGGCAGCAGUAGGGAAUUUUCGUCAAUGGGCGCAAGCCUGAACGAGCAUGCCGCGUGAACGAGGAAGGUCUUCGGAUCGUAAAGUUCUGUUGAAGGGGAAAAAGAGCGGAGAGAGGAAAUGCUUUCUGAUUGAUAUUACCCUUCGAGGAAGUCACGGCUAACUACGUGCCAGCAGCCGCGGUAAUACGUAGGUGGCGAGCGUUAUCCGGAAUGAUUGGGCGUAAAGGGUGCGUAGGCGGCCUGCUAAGUCUGGAGUGAAAGGUACCGGCUCAACCGGUACAGGCUCUGGAAACU